AUUGAACGCUGGCGGCAUGGCUAAUGCAUGCAAGUCGAACGAAAGCCCUUCGGGGCGAAAGUGGCGAAAGGGCGAGUAAUACGAUCGAACGUACCCCAAGGUGGAGGAUAGUGUCGGGAAACUGACGGUAAUACUCCAUGUGCUCCUCGGAGGAAAGCUUUGGCGCCUCGGGAGCGGCGAUCGUCCUAUCAGGUAGUUGGUGAGGUAAUGGCUCACCAAGCCGAAGACGGGUAGCGGGUGUGAGAGCAUGACCCGCCGCAUCGGGACUGAGACACUGCCCGGACUCCUACGGGAGGCUGCAGCGACGAAUCUUCCGCAAUGGGCGCAAGCCUGACGGAGCAAUGCCGCGUGUGGGACGAAGCGUCUUCGACGUGUAAACCACUGUCAGAAUCUAGGAACACUGACCAGGACCAGAGGAAGGGCCGGCUAACCUCGUG
rnacentral:rRNA from 1 species